GUUGAGGAAGAUAAUGACGGUACUCAACAAGGAAGUGACGGCUAACUACGUGCCAGCAGCCGCGGUAAAACGUAGGUCACAAGCGUUGUCCGGAAUUACUGGGUGUAAAGGGAGCGCAGGCGGGAGAACAAGUUGGAAGUGAAAUCCAUGGGCUCAACCCAUGAACUGCUUUCAAAACUGUUUUUCUUGAGUAGUGCAGAGGUAGGCGGAAUUCCCGGUGUAGCGGUGGAAUGCGUAGAUAUCGGGAGGAACACCAGUGGCGAAGGCGGCCUACUGGGCACCAACUGACGCUGAGGCUCGAAAGUGUGGGUAGCAAACAGGAUUAGAUACCCUGGUAGUCCACACCGUAAACGAUGAUUACUAGGUGUUGGAGGAUUGACCCCUUCAGUGCCGCAGUUAACACAAUAAGUAAUCCACCUGGGGAGUACGACCGCAAGGUUGAAACUCAAAGGAAUUGACGGGGGCCCGCACAAGCAGUGGAGUAUGUGGUUUAAUUCGACGCAACGCGAAGAACCUUACCAAGUCUUGACAUCCCUUGACGAUGCUGGAAACAGCAUUUCUCUUCGGAGCAAGGAGACAGGUGGUGCAUGGUUGUCGUCAGCUCGUGUCGUGAGAUGUUGGGUUAAGUCCCGCAACGAGCGCAACCCUUAUGGUCAGUUACUACGCAAGAGGACUCUGGCCAGACUGCCGUU
rnacentral:rRNA from 1 species